CGACCAAUUGUCUCGGAGAAGAUCCAAAUCCAAUAAAGCUUCCAAAAAUCUCUCUCCCACCUCGAGCCCAGCGCCACCCUGCUUUCUUCUCUUGCAUACUCAAACCUAGCCGCUCCACCUCUCUUUAUAAAAGAAUAGCAAUCAAACCCUUCCAAUCCGAUUCGACCAUAACUGUGUAACAAUGGUGAAGGAGGAGAAAUGUCUAAAAAAGGAUUGGCU
rnacentral:lncRNA from 1 species